rnacentral:RNase_P_RNA from 5 species
CGGGGGAGGUUGCGGUCGCUCCGAUGUAACAUCGGGGAGGAAAGUCCGGGCUCCAAAGAGCAGGGUGCCCUGAACAAUCAGGGAUCCCGGCAGAACGCCGGGAAUGGAAAGUGCCACAGAAAAAAUACCGCCGGAAAAAACGGCGGAAAAAAAGGGACAGUCCCAAUUUUCCGCUUCCUUUUUCCGGUAAGGGUGAAAAGGCACCCGCCCGCCAUCCUUGCCGAUAAGGCAGGGCAAGCGAGGCGAGGUCUCGCCCCGACGAAAGUCGGGGCGGAGGUUAAGAGCCUACCGCUCCGAUGGCAACAUCGGAGGCACGGCAAACCCCAUCCGGAGCAAGACCAAAAAAGGAACUUAAGGCCGCUCGCCAUCUGCUUAUCGCAGGGUUCCGGGUAGGUCGCGUAGAUAAAUGAUCGCACCUCAAGAUACAGUGUAAAGUGUAAAGUGAAAAGUGGGAAGUCUUUGACUUUUCGCUCUUCACUCAUCACUACUCACUGUUUUAAGAGGACAGGACCCGGCUUAUGACCUCCCCCGUUUU